CGGAGGGGCUAGCGUUGUUCGGAAUUACUGGGGCGUAAAGCGCGCGUAGGCGGCUUUGUAAGUUAGAGGUGAAAGCCCGGAGCUCAACUCCGGAACUGCCUUUAAGACUGCAUCGCUAGAAUUGUGGAGAGGUGAGUGGAAUUCCGAGUGUAGAGGUGAAAUUCGUAGAUAUUCGGAAGAACACCAGUGGCGAAGGCGACUCACUGGACACAUAUUGACGCUGAGGUGCGAAAGCGUGGGGGAGCAAACAGGAUU
rnacentral:rRNA from 1 species